rnacentral:lncRNA from 1 species
AGCUGGGCUCGGAGUGCAGCGGGGUUAGGAUGGACGAGGACGUGUUGCACCCUGAAGAGCCUCAUCAUCGGUGAGAGUGGGGUGGGCAAGUCCAGCCUGCUCUUGAGGUUCACAGAUGAUACCUUUGAUCCAGAACUUGCAGCAACAAUAGGUUCACCUGCUUCCAGGCGGGCAGGGCGUUGUAUUCAUCCCUCGUCAUGUCUAGUGCAAACUGGAAACAUUGGGAGAAGCGCCCCGCGGCUCAGUGAAAGGAGCCGGGCGUGCGUGUGUUGUUUUACUCCCAUCCCCACCCCACCGGAAGAACCGCUUACCUCGAAGUCUUCGUCGGUGAGAUAGAUCUCAAGCUUCAGAGGAUCGACCCCCUCCGGGAGUGGCCUGGCCAGGAGGUCGGCCAGCGGGUAAAUGGUUUUACAGAGCUUGGCUAAGACGUCUUCCACGAGGGUGAUCUGAUUGGAAACUUCCGUGUCCUAGAGAAGAGGAGGGGGCAGAGAGGAGAGCUCGUGUCCUACAUUUGAACUUGUUUUAUUAAGUGCUUACAGACACACAGCCCUGUGCCACCUGCAUACUGCCUGAGGAUGCAUAGUUCCAUAUCACUGAGGAGGAAAUGGCUCUGAAAGAAAAGGGAUCGCCCAAAGCCCUGCAGUUGUCUGGACUUUUAAUUUUUA